rnacentral:rRNA from 1 species
UGCAGUCGAACGUGAUCCGCCCUUCGGGGUGGUGAAAGUGGCGCACGGGUGAGUAACGCGUGGAUAAUCUGCCCGAGGAUUUGGGAUAACAUCUCGAAAGGGGUGCUAAUACCGAAUAAGCCCACGGGGUCUACGGAUCUUGCGGGAAAAGGGGGGGACCUUCGGGCCUCCUGUCCUUGGAUGAGUCUGCGUACCAUUAGCUAGUUGGUGAGGUAAAGGCUCACCAAGGCGACGAUCUGUAGCGGGUCUGAGAGGAUGAUCCGCCACACUG